CACCCGGUCAAAGCCCGUCAAGAACACUAUGAAAGGGGGAGGAGUGAUGAGAGAUCCAGUGCAGAUCACAUGGCUAUUUACGGGGCAGCACUCCGAUAUGUAACAGGUUAAAAAUGCAUGGACUUGACUUCAACUGAAAGAUGUUUUUCUGAAAGGCGAUCUGAGACACCUUCGAGCCCCAGAGUUCAGCCACCAGUCGUGGUCGCAGUUCAUCUCUGAAGGAGUUGUGCCCCAGCUGGCCAUAACGUCCUGAUCCACAUGUAAACACUACUCCAUCCUGGAACCAUCACAGCAGAUCAGUCAUGAAACGGCCCAGCUGCCCAGCGCUGUUCUUGCCCCAGCCAAACACGGCCCCUGAGACGGACAGGGCAAAGCUGUGGUCCCCUCCAGCACUGAUCUGAGACAGGGGGAUCCCCGCCAGAGACUUGAGGGGUUGGGGGGACAUGGUGCUG